rnacentral:rRNA from 1 species
GAUGAACGCUGGCGGCGUGCCUAAUACAUGCAAGUCGAGCGAACGGACGAGAAGCUUGCUUCUCUGAUGUUAGCGGCGGACGGGUGAGUAACACGUGGAUAACCUACCUAUAAGACUGGGAUAACUUCGGGAAACCGGAUCUAAUACCGGAUAAUAUUUUGAACCGCAUGGUUCAAAAGUGAAAGACGGUCUUGCUGUCACUUAUAGAUGGAUCCGCGCUGCAUUAGCUAGUUGGUAAGGUAACGGCUUACCAAGGGAACGAUGCAUAGCCGACGUGACAGGGGGUAGGGCCACACAGGAGCUGAGCGACGGUCCAGGCACCGAGGGGAGGCAGAGGUAGGGAAGGUAGGGAGCAGGGGGAAAGAUUGACGGAGGGACGCCGGGCGGGUGAUGAAGGGCUUCGGGUGGGAAAACGGUGUUAGGGGGGAAGAACAUAUGUGGAAGGAACGGUGCGCAUCUUGACGGUACCUAAGCAGAAGGCCCCGGCUAACUCGGG